ACAGUGGACGCGAGCAUCUGUGGCCAAGUUUUUAAGGGCGCACGGUGGAUGCCUUGGCACCAGG
rnacentral:rRNA from 11 species